AGAGUUUGAUCAUGGCUCAGGACGAACGCUGGCGGCGUGCCUAACACAUGCAAGUCGAGCGAUGCGAUCCUUCGGGAUCAAUUAGCGGCGGACGGGUGAGUAACACGUGGGUAACCUGCCUCAAAGAGGGGAAUAGCCUCCCGAAAGGGAGAUUAAUACCGCAUAAUAUGUUUUAGUCGCAUGACUGAAACAUCAAAGGAUUCUCUUCGGAGAUUCCACUUUGAGAUGGACCCGCGGCGCAUUAGCUAGUUGGUGAGGUAACGGCUCACCAAGGCAACGAUGCGUAGCCGACCUGAGAGGGUGAUCGGCCACAUUGGAACUGAGACACGGUCCAGACUCCUACGGGAGGCAGCAGUGGGGAAUAUUGCGCAAUGGGGGAAACCCUGACGCAGCAACGCCGCGUGAAUGAUGAAGGCCUUCGGGUUGUAAAGUUCUGUCUUCUGGGACGAUAAUGACGGUACCAGAGGAGGAAGCCACGGCUAACUACGUGCCAGCAGCCGCGGUAAUACGUAGGUGGCAAGCGUUGUCCGGAUUUACUGGGCGUAAAGGAUGCGUAGGCGGACAUUUAAGUCAGAUGUGAAAUACCCGAGCUUAACUUGGGUGCUGCAUUUGAAACUGGGUGUCUAGAGUGCAGGAGAGGUAAGUGGAAUUCCUAGUGUAGCGGUGAAAUGCGUAGAGAUUAGGAAGAACACCAGUGGCGAAGGCGACUUACUGGACUGUAACUGACGCUGAGGCAUGAAAGCGUGGGGAGCAAACAGGAUUAGAUACCCUAGUAGUCC
rnacentral:rRNA from 1 species